CACAGAUCCGGGCCACGAAACGGGUCGACACGUGGAUCCCUUCCUCCCCUAAACGGCACCGUUUCAUUUUGUUAUCAAAACUAAAAAAAAUUGAAUGGUAAUCUGCCAUUCUCUACAACAAUUGAAACAAAUCCCUAAUUCCUCAUGUUUCCCCCUUUAUUUAGCCGACAAAGGAACCCUCAACUCCAUUCUUCACACGCCACUGUGAUCAGCAAUAGACAUGGAACGAAGGUCCCCUUUUUGUUCCAAUUGCAACGAAGAAGAAAAUGCUCUAUUGGUGCACUUGUGAAGAUGUGUAUGGCGUGGAGGAACGGAGAUCGUGACGUGAAGGCUAGUUCCGUUGCGAGGCUGCGGCACGCGUGAGGUUGGUGGCUUAGGGUUUCCUAAGUGUUUUUUGUUUUGGGCUAGGAUUUGGGUUGUUUGGGCUAUUAGGCCAUUUUUGCAUUUGGGCCUUUGGGUUCAUGACGGAAUUCGACCAUUAGGUUAGGAUUACUAGGCCAUUCGGAUUAGGUUUAUUGGGCUAGGGAUUAAUUUGGUAUUUAAUUUAAUGUUUGGGUUUGGUUUGGUUUAGGCCCGAAAAUUUGUAAAUGGACAUUGGACCCAUAAAUAAUUUGGCUUAUUAUUUA